CACCUCCAGGCAGGCACUGAGGCCACUGCAGAGUGUCUGGACACAGGCUUAUGGAGCAACCACAAUGUCCCCCCACAGUGUGUCCCUGUGACCUGUCCUGAUGUCAGUAGCAUCAGCGUGGAGCAUGGCCGAUGGAGGCUUAUCUUUGAGACACAGUAUCAGUUCCAGGCCCAGCUGAUGCUCAUCUGUGACCCUGGCUACUACUAUACUGGCCAAAGGGUCAUCCGCUGUCAGGCCAAUGGCAAAUGGAGCCUCGGGGACUCUACACCCACCUGCCAAAUCAUCUCCUGUGGAGAGCUCCCGAUUCCCCCCAGUGGCCACCGCAUCGGAACACUGUCUGUCUACGGGGCAACAGCCAUCUUCUCCUGCAAUUCCGGAUACACACUGGUGGGCUCCAGGGUGCGUGAGUGCAUGGCCAAUGGGCUUUGGAGUGGCUCUGAAGUCCGCUGCCUUGCUGGACACUGUGGGACUCCUGAGCCCAUUGUCAAUGGCCACAUCAAUGGGGAGAACUACAGCUACCGGGGCAGUGUGGUGUACCAAUGCAACGCUGGCUUCCGCCUGAUCGGCAUGUCUGUGCGCAUCUGCCAGCAGGAUCAUCACUGGUCGGGCAAGACCCCUUUCUGUGUGCCAAUUACCUGUGGACACCCAGGCAACCCUGUCAACGGCCUCACUCAGGGCAACCAGUUUAACCUCAACGAUGUGGUCAAGUUUGUUUGCAACCCCGGGUACAUGGCUGAGGGGGCUGCUAG
rnacentral:sRNA from 1 species